rnacentral:rRNA from 1 species
AUUGAACGCUGGCGGCAGGCCUAACACAUGCAAGUCGAGCGGAUGAAGGGAGCUUGCUCCUGGAUUCAGCGGCGGACGGGUGAGUAAUGCCUAGGAAUCUGCCUGGUAGUGGGGGAUAACGUCCGGAAACGGGCGCUAAUACCGCAUACGUCCUGAGGGAGAAAGUGGGGGAUCUUCGGACCUCACGCUAUCAGAUGAGCCUAGGUCGGAUUAGCUAGUUGGUGGGGUAAAGGCCUACCAAGGCGACGAUCCGUAACUGGUCCGAGAGGAUGAUCAGUCACACUGGAACUGAGACACGGUCCAGACUCCUACGGGAGGCAGCAGUGGGGAAUAUUGGACAAUGGGCGAAAGCCUGAUCCAGCCAUGCCGCGUGUGUGAAGAAGGUCUUCGGAUUGUAAAGCACUUUAAGUUGGGAGGAAGGGCAGUAAGUUAAUACCUUGCUGUUUGGACGUUACCAACAGAAUAAGCACCGGCUAACUUCGU